GCCUGUUUGGCCAAGUGGCUAAGGCGUCUCACUCGUAUGACAUGAGAAGAGCACCAGUUCGACUCUGGUAAUAGGCA